rnacentral:rRNA from 1 species
GGGUGCGAUCAUACCAACACUAAUGCACCGGAUCCCAUCAGAAUUCCAAAAUUAAGCAUGCUUGAGUGAGAGUACUACUAAGAUGGGUGACCUCCUGAAAAGUCCUCAUGUUGCACCCC